rnacentral:snRNA from 1 species
GGAUGUGAGGGUGAUCUGGCUGGGACAUCUGUCACCCCAUCGAUCGCCAGGGUUGAUUCACCUGAUCUGGCUGGCUAGGGAGGUGUCGCCUUCCUCUCUCACUGCUCCAUGUGCGUUCCUCCUGAAGCUGCACGCUAGGUUGAAGAGGAUGACCAUCCCCGAUAGAGGAAGACCGGUCUUCACGGGUAUACGCGUAGCUGCACUCCCCUGCUAGAACCUCCAAACAAGCUCUCAAGAAAAUAUUAAAAGAAAAUACUAAAAAAUCCAAAUAAUUGGAUCUUGAGUGUCUGGUUAUAAAAAGAUAUAUAUAAAUAUAUAAACAUGUAUAUACUUUUUUAUUU